rnacentral:rRNA from 1 species
AGCGUUGCUCGGAAUCACUGGGCGUAAAGCGCACGUAGGCGGCUUGUUAAGUCAGGGGUGAAAUCCUGGAGCUCAACUCCAGAACUGCCUUUGAUACUGGCGAGCUUGAGUUCGGGAGAGGUGAGUGGAACUGCGAGUGUAGAGGUGAAAUUCGUAGAUAUUCGCAAGAACACCAGCGGCGAAGGCGGCUCACUGGCCCGAUACUGACGCUGAGGUGCGAAAGCGUGGGGAGCAAACAGG